CUUGGGAGUGCAUUCCUAUAAUCUCUUCUACUGGGGAGCCUGAGGCUGGUGGAUCUCUUCAACUCAGGAGUUUUAGCUUCAGUGGGCUAAGCUAAGUGGGUGUCAGCACUAAGUCUGACAUAAAUGGGGUGAGCCCCCAGGAGUGGCAGGGAGAAAACCACCAUCCUGCUUAAGGAGUGGUGAACUGGCCCUGGCCAGGAAAUAUGGAGCAGGUCAAAACUUACAUGCUGAUCAGUAGUGGGAUGGAACCAGUGAGUGGCCAUUUCUAGCCUGGAUGAAGUAGGGAGACCCAGUCUCC
rnacentral:SRP_RNA from 1 species